GCCAAAAACCGAAGAGGGCAGCUGAACAUUAUUCACCUACAAGAGGGAUUCCCCAGGGAAACUGCACGUCACUUAUUCUCAAGCCAGCUGCUGCAGGGUUGCUAUAAAAGGAAACCUGCUCUCUGAAGAACUGCAAAGGAGGUAAACACAUUGCUUUCCUGCAAUAGCUUUGGGAUGCCAAAAGCAUGAAUGAAAUCAGUGAGAACUUCCUCCUCUGUACGUUACACUGGAUUAAGCUUCAGGUAUGUUUCAGGAGGCCACUCCGAGAACGAGUGACUCACAAACCUUGUACCAAACAGCCCUUGCCAUCAGUCACGGUCAGCUUUUUCUCAGCAAAACCUGGUAAGUAGUUUGAACUCCAUCUACUAGUGACAGAAGAAGUGGACAACAAAGCAUAAAUUAAAACU